GAUGAACGCUGGCGGCGUGCUUAACACAUGCAAGUCGAACGAAGCAUUUGCGACAGAUUUCUUCGGAUUGAAGUUGCUUAUGACUGAGUGGCGGACGGGUGAGUAACGCGUGGGUAACCUGCCUCAUACAGGGGGAUAGCAGCUGGAAACGGCUGGUAAUACCGCAUAAGCGCCCAGUACCACAGGGUACAGUGUGAAAAACUCCGGUGGUAUGAGAUGGACCCGCGUCUGAUUAGCUAGUUGGUGAGGUAACGGCCAACCAAGGCGACGAUCAGUAGCCGACCUGAGAGGGUGACCGGCCACAUUGGGACUGAGACACGGCCCAGACUCCUACGGGAGGCAGCAGUGGGGAAUAUUGCACGAUGGAGGAAACUCUGAUGCAGCGACGCCGCGUGAGUGAAGAAGUAGUUCGCUAUGUAAAGCUCUAUCAGCAGGGAAGAUAGUGACGGUACCUGACUAAGAAGCUCCGGCUAAAUACGUGCCAGCCGCCGCCGUAA
rnacentral:rRNA from 1 species